UGUCUCAGUAAGAAAGGAGUUAGCCUAAUGGGCGUUCCAGUUUCAAAGUAGGAUUGGCAUUGUUAGUUGACCUUGAAAACGUAACGCUGUAAAAAUCUAUACUGCAAGCACAAAUACAACUCCGAGAGGAAGCUGCUGUUCCUAAUUUUUUGAAACAAGAUUUUCUUCUACGUUAUCCAAUACUUAUCUUAACAACAAGAGAGAAAGAGAGAGUGAUGAAGCAUGGACCAGAAAAACUUCUGGAGCUGAUAUACUGAACUGUAAACUCUUGAAAUCCUUAAAUUCCUUUUAUGAUUUCAAUCUUUUCACUGUAACCAUAUUGUGGAACUGUCUUCAAGGUCAUUUUUUUUUUUCGUCGAUUACAUAUUUAGUCAACUACUUUUUGUAUGAUUGAAAAUUAUCUAUUGAUUUAUUGAAUGACUAAGUCUUCCUUGGCAUAGAAGACAUAUAAUGAUAUGACAAGGUAAUUUUAUUUGACUUAUUGAUUUGUACCAAUAUGUACUUACAUAUGCCCGUGCACGUACUUAAACACACACAUGCACCUCUUAAAACAUGCCAAGUUUUAAGUAAACGAAUUUAAAACACUAUACUCAUGUCAUGUCUUGAGUAGAAAAUUUGAAAGAAGUCUUCUUCGACUAAACCAAAUUCAAAGAAGAUAAUACAAAAUUUUAUAUAGGCACAAAGAAGAGCAGCUCCAUCUAACAUUACUUUACCAGAAACAGUAUAAAUAAGAAACACAAACACGCUGAAAGACAAUGCUCCAACAUGGCCUCAGCCCCUGGCUGAAACCAGUAAAAGAUUAAAAAAAGCUGUGUGUAUAAACAUAUAUAUAUAUAUACAUACAUAUAUAUCAAAAUCUUCAUCAGAAUACAUUAUAAAGGUCUAGUUAGAGAAAUAAAGUAAAAAUGUACUGUAAAAGAGAAAACAAAAAACAUACAAUAACAAUAAAUGGAGAAAUGUGUGUGUGUGUGUGUACUGUCACUGUAUCCUUUUUGGUUUUGAAUUGCAUCUCUCUCUCUCUGUAUAUAUAUAUAUAUAUAUAUAUAUAUAUAUAUAUAUAUAUAAUAGAAAUAUGUUACAAAAACAAAAUAGAAACUACACGUGGAAAUGUAAGGGUAAAGUAAGAAGAAAAAUAAGCGAAAAUGCACAUUGGAAAUCAAAAGAAGUAAAGGCUUUUUAUGAAAAGUAACGAUAGAAAUAUACAAUUAGAUGAACUGAGGAAGGAAUAAAAGUAAUAAAAGUCAUUAUUGUGAAUUGUUAAAGAGAUUCAAAAGCAUACCGGUUUCGUAAUGUUACUAAUCAUUGCUUUGAGCAGAGAUUGCGGCUCGUUGAUUUUUGUUGUCACUUAAAGCAUAUGGAACCCAUGCUCCAUACUUCUGAACCUUUCCCAUCGAGUGAAGAUACUUCUCUAUAGCAGUGUGGGAGCAUUCCAUUUUCUCUGCCAGUUCCCUUGUCGUUUGAUGAGAAUUUUUGUGCAAAAGUUGGUUUAAUGCUCUUCAUCAAACUCAACUAGAUGGCCAGAACAAGGUUCGUCUUUGUGGUCAAAAUUUACAUUUUUGAACUUGGCAAACCAAUCACGAGUCAUUCUUUCAGCUAUGGCACCCUCUCCAAACACAGCACAAAUGUCGCGAGCAGCUUUUACAGCCUUAGAGCCUUGAUUAAAAGCAAAAUGGAGGUGUUGAAAAUGCACGUUGACAUUCCAUUUUAAUGAUCUAAAAAUAAACAAAAAUUAACUAGAAAUAAAACAAAAUAAAUUCCAAAAUGAUUCAAAAAUAGAAUUCUUGAAAAAUAUAGUUUCCAAAAUUUUUUUAAAAUGCGGGAACUUAGUUGCCAAUCCAAUAUGUGUGUGUAUGUGUAUGAAAUGACCACUGAAAAGGGCUUUGCAUUAGGAAGGGCCAGUGAAGUUUUGUAGUCACUCUUCCUUCUCUUCUUUCUAAAUAAAAAUAGAAGUACUCAACACAAAUCUAUGAUUAACAAAAUGUUUACACAACUGGGGGAGGGAAAGGUAGAGAGAAAUGAUGAAGAGGAGGAGAGAGACAACGAUGAUGAUGCAAGAAUAGAGAGAGACUAAUGUGAUUUGUUAAGUGGAAAAUUCCUGGACAUUCCUUGUAAAUCUCAGUAUCCGUUUCCCACUGGUUACUCACAUUCAAUUUUUCCGUUUUGCAUGUCUUCCAUAUUGACAAUUAGUUUAAAUAUACACUAAUGGCUGUGUGGUUAAGUAGCACAAGUAGAUCGUUUCCCAGCCGCAUAAUUUCAGAUUCAAUCUCCAGGUUCAGUCUCACUGCUUGGCACCUUGGGUAAGUGUCUUUUACUGCAGCCUCAGUUUGAUGAAUGGCUGUGUGGUAAGAUGCUCGCUUCCAAACCACAUGGUUCCAGAUUCAGUCCCACUGUGUGGCACCUUGGGCAAGUGUCUUCUACUAUAGCCUUGGGCUGACAAAACCUUGCAAGUAGAUUUGCUAGACUGAAACUGAAAGAAGCUUGUCAAUUAUAUAUUAAUUGUUUAUAAUUUUCACCUUAAAAGGUAUUUUUAUAUGCUGACCACAGAGUGUCAUGUUCGUUGAUGCUACCCCUGGCAGCAAAGUAGCACACCUUUUUAGAAAAACAUUAAGUAAGGCUAAUCUACAAAUUAAAGUAGUGGAGAGGCCUGGUGCCCCUUUAAAAUCCCUGAUCUGAAAUACCUAUCUCAUUGAUAAGUCCACCUGUACAGAGUGCAAUUGUGUUAUAUGUAGGAUGACAUAAUUAUGGUUUCGAAAUAUAACCUGCCCAAAAAUUGUCAUGGAAAGACACGCACCCUAGAAGCAACGAAUAUUCUAGACAAGAAACAUAACUCGUCUUUAUUAUAUUAAGUUAUGUCCCUUGAUUUAGCUGGACUCAUUUCAGUUGUAUCUUAGUGUUACUAGUUCAAAGGGACACCACCAUAUAGAAUUAGUGCAAAUCUAACGCUAUAAUGACUAUGGGAGAUGAAUUCAAUAAUGCAUGCUAACAAAGUACUUUUGUUAAUGUAUUUGCCUUAAGACUGUUGACUGCUAAUAGAUCCUGGCAUAGAUUUCCUUAUUCACUCAAAUCUUUUUCAUCAAUCAACGAGUGACAAUAUGGUUUAUUCACCAGCUGAGAAAACUAAAGAAUAUCUUGCAAACGUUAAAUUAUCAUCACAUCAGACGGUGGUUUUAUACAAAAUAUUGACUCCUAAAACCACCAUGUGCCCAAUGAUAAACAGGAAUUUGUUGUGGAAUAAGUGAAAACUGCCAUCAUAGAUGACUGGACAAUGUCAGUCAAGAAUCUAAAUUAUCAGUUGGUAAUAAAUAUAAACAAUCUCAUGUGAGUAACGCAAGGGUCACACAUGGAUACCCAAAGCAAUUUAUGGCUCAAGAUGAAGCUAUAAAUCCAUCACAAUGAAAGCUUAAGAAAGCACAACCAUUCAGUGGAAGUUCACUGUACAUACAUUCCCUUCACAAGUGCCAGUGCCUGGAAAAGCACCAGUAAUCACUGUAAAGUGGUUCCUGUUAAGAAACGAAACCAUGUCACUUAUGAUAAUUAGGCUACUUCUGGAUCUCUGAUUAGCCCAAUAAUGUAGCAUUAACAAAGACAGAUGCAUCUAGAGCAGUCAUAGCUUGGUAUUUUUUACAAUAACUCUAGACCAGAGGUUCUGAAACUUUUGGGGCACUGUCCCCAUCAUAGCGACAUA